rnacentral:tRNA from 1 species
GCCCCCGUGGACCAACUGGAUGGUCAUGCGAGUUCUAUUCGCACCUAUGCAGGUUCGAGUCCUGCCGGGGGCA